CUGAGACCCAUAGGGCAACAUGGAAACUUGACAGCAGCUGCCUGCAGAAUGCACAUAAGGGUCAAACCCAAGGACGCAAUUAGAGUACAGUGUCCGUCACAACCUGGAUCCAGUAAACUCCUACCUUUCCAUCAAGACCCAAACCAAAAGAAUCGACUGCUGUGAAGACUUCCGUGACCCCUGUAUUUUUCUCUUUUGUUCAACAUCAAUUCCCUUUCCUCCUUGUG